rnacentral:lncRNA from 1 species
AGUGAGAAACAGCCGGCGCUGGGAAAGGAACGGUGCAGCGACCGACCAACUGCGCGCUCGGUGCCACCAAAGUGCUACUGGCUCUACCCACUCUGUCCCCCACGGGCUUAGGGAAGUCUGAUGUCUUUUUCUUUUCUUUUUUCCUCUGUCGCCUAGGCUGGUGCAGUGGUGUCAUCUUGGCUCAGUGCAGCCUCGACUUCCUGGGAUCCAGCGAUCCUCCCGCUUCAGCCUCUAGAGUAGCCGAGACCACAGGUGAGUGCUACCACCCCCGUCUAAUUUAUAUAUAUUUAUAUAUAUAAAUAUAUAUAUUAAAAUAUAUAUUUUAUAUUUAUAUAUAAUAUAAAUAAAUAUAUAAAUAUAAAUAUAUAUUUUUAUAUAUUAUAUAAAAUAUAUAAAUAUAUAUUUAUUUAUAUAUUAUAUAUAAUAUAUAUAUUAUAUAAUAUAUAUAUUAUAUAAUAUAUAUAUAAUAUAUAAUAUAUAUAUUAUAUAUAAAAUAUAUUAUAUAUAAUAUAUAUAAUAUAUUAUAUAUUAUAUAUUAUAUAUAAUAUAUAUAAUAUAUUAUAUAUAAUAUAUAAUAUAUAAUAUAUUAUAUAUAAUAUAUAAAAUAUAUAAAAUAUAGUAUAUAAUAUAUAAAAUAUAUUAUAUAUAAUAUAUAAUAUAUAAGAUAUAUAAUAUAUUAUAUAUAAUAUAUUAUAUAUAAUAUAUUUUAUAUAGUAUAUAAAAUAUAAAAUAUAUAUUAUAUAUAAAAUAUAUAUUAUAUAUAAAAUAUAUAUUAUAUAUAAAAUAUAUAUUAUAUAUGAAAUAUAUAUAUAUAAAUAUAUAUAUAUUAGUGACGGCGGUCUCGCUAUGUUGCCCAGGCUGGUCUCGAACUCCUGAGCUCAAGCGAUUCGCCCGCCUGGGCCUCCCAAAGUGCUGGGAUCACAGGCGUGGGCCACCGAGGCCCGCAGGAAGUCUGUAUUGUUCUUGCAUUCCACCCAGUGCAUUACGCAGGGGGAGAGUAGUGGGCUUAUGCGCCGAGAACCAAGCAGAUCCUGUUGGUCCCAGGAACAAAGUAUAAACCAUUCUGGUCGCCAACAGCUUCCUACGCAGGAAACAGCCAUCCACCCUCUGUGACUGGGCUUUUCCAGGUCACCCCUCGCUGCCAGGCUCUCUUCCCGGUCCAGAGCCCACAGGAUCCUACAGGAGGGGCCAACAACUGCUUGCCUUUGAAACUUGAAACUCUCGGUCUAAGGUUCCUUAGGAGCGUAAAAGGCACAGCGUUUUCUGAUCGCAGCUUCAGGUCUCCCGCCCCUGUCCCGGUACCUCUCCUGCAGGACGGAACUCUGUGGGAACGCUCGUUGAUUCUGAUGGUUAACUGUCAGAUAUCCUUGAUAUUGGACAUAGGAUUUGGAAGAGGGCAGGAGAGAAAAAUGAACUGCAAGACUCCAGCACAAGAGGUGGGAUUGCUGGCAGAUGUCUGCUCCCUCUCCAAACCUAAUGAACAUCUCAAAGUGCCAUCCACUUUCCUAUACCCUUGAUCUGUGAAAUGGAUCACUGACGCUUUCUCUGUCUUUCCGGAAAUGCAAAACAGGUGAAUUUUCAAGCGCUUGAAUUGUCUCUCACACUUUUCAGUCAAGAGUGGGGCUAUAAACUCCUUCCUCAUAGGAAAUAAGGAACUGCCACUGCUUGGAAGUAAAACGUAUUUUUCCCAUAAGCUUUCACAUUUCCCAAAAAAAAUUAUACAUCCAGAUGUAAUCCCCCUAAGAGGCUUACAGACCCUACCAGGAGCGUUCCCACGCGAACGCAUCAUCUCCCAAUCGGAUCCUGAAAACACCAUGCAACCAAUUCCAUCCUUUUCUGGAUCAACCUGGGCAGAGGACAGGUGCAGAGGAGCCCAGAGAAGGGCCUUGACAAGUCAGGAGACCCAAUUUGGGGUCGCAAUUGUCACUCACUCCCCAGGCGUUUGCUUUGAUCUUCCCCUCCCACCAUACUACUUCUUCUGCUACCUGGUUUCUCCCUGGUAUUUGAGGAUCCUCCAAUUGCCUUCUGGUCUUACAGACGGGAGAAUAAAGGAAAAAUGGCAUCGUUUCCACCUUAAAAGUUACAAGCACUUCACCAGAUGGUACAGCCUAGGUAGAGCCUUUGUAAAACAAAUGCCCGCCCACUGCUUCACCCUCCUCAUUUCCACCUCAGCAAAGCAUUUUAGCAGAAAAGCUGACCCAGAGCAGUAGCUCCCUGCUAUAAUCCUAGCACUUUGGGAGGCUAAGUCAGGAGUAUCUCUUUAGCCCAGAAGUUCAAUACCACCCUAAGCACAAAGUGAGAUCCUGCCUCUACCAAAAAAAGAAAAAAAAAAUUGAAAAAUUAGUCGGAUUUGGUCUCGAGUGCCUGUAGUCCCAGCUACUCGGGAAGCCGAAGUGGGAGGAUCUCUUGAGCCCUAGAGAUGCAGGCUGCAGUGAAUGGUGAUCUGGGACCGCAUCACUGCAGUUCAGUCUGGGUGACAGAGGGAGACGUUGUCUCAGAAAAUAAAAUAAAAUAAAAAAUAACAUAACUGGGAUUACAAGCUCUGUAAGAAGGGGUCACCUGAGACAUUAUUACAUAUACCAUUAACAGAGGAAAAUGCUGCAAAUUAUACUGUGUCCCAAUGGUAAGAGGCCACCCAUUUAAAAAUAUAUACAUAUUUCAGAGAUACUAAAUGAGAAAAAUGUUUACCCUAGAACUGAUUAAAUUCAGGUAUCCACUCCUUUAUUUUCAAUCUUUAGUGCCAUUUUUUAGUUUGUUUAUGUCUUGAAAAUAGCAUAGAGAUUAGAGUUGUAAUUCUUUAUUUUUUAAAUUAUUUUUAUUUUGUUCACUUAUUUAUUUAUUUUUGAGACAGAAUCUUGCUCUGUCACCCAGGCUGGAAUGCAGUGGCACGAUCUCAGUUCACUGUAACCUCUGCUUCCGAGGUUCAAGCCAUUCUUGUGCCUCAGCCUCCAGAGUAGCUGGGACCACUGGCUCCUGCCACAACACCCGGGUAAUUUUUGUAUUUUUAGAAGAAACGGGGUUUCACCAUGUUGGCCAGGCUAGCCUUGAACUCCUGAUCUCAUGUGAUCCACCCACCUCGGCCUCCCAAAGUGCCAGGAUUACAGGCAUGAGCCACCAUGCCAAGCCAAGUUGUAAUUUUUUGAAACCUAUUUUUUGAUUGUAUUUGUUUUUUUCAUAGCUCAAUACACUGAAAUGGUUGGGUAAGUGGGAAAAUCAUCUUCCCCACUCCUCCAGUAUCUGUAAGGUGCAAUUUCUCAUAAACACUUUCAGCUUCUUGCCUCCCCUUUUAGUUCUUCUCACAUAUUGUGUGGUUUGUGGCAUGAAAAUCAUUAUUUGUGACAGACACCAUACCAACUAUAUUUUGUGCUUUAUCUUGUUUCAUUCUCAACCGAAAAAUGUGGUGAGCACAUGCUUUGUGCUGGGCUUUCUUCUUAGUUCUCUCCAUUUUGUAGAUGCACAGCCUCACUUAGGGAAGUUGGAGUGCAUAUAGCUCUGUCUGUGGCUGAAUAGAUAAAUGUAAUUUUAGCAUUCAAUGUUAAGAAAUCAACUCUUGGUGCAAAUUUAAGGCUCAUCUUCUAAUGUAGUGUGUGUGUGUGUGUGUGUGUGUGUGUGUGUGUGUGUGAUUUUACUGUGUCCCUUCUCCCUAACACUCCAGUUCAAGAUAGCAACCUAAGUUCUGAGUUGAUUAUUCUGGACACACUCUCUCAAAAUUUGACUGUUGGACACCAGAAUACACCACCCCAAUAUACCAAUAUACCUCUGGCAUAUUGAUUAUUUCAGGCCUAGCAUGGUAGCUCACACCUGUAAUCCUAGUGCUUCGGGAGCCCAGGAGUUCAUCAGCAGGCUGGGCACAUAAGGGGUCCCAUCUCUACAAAAGUAUUUUUUAAAAAUUAGCUGGGUGUGGUGGCAUGAGCCUAUAGUCCUGGUUACUAGGGAAGCCAAGGCAGGAGGAUGGCUUGAAUCCAGAAGUUUAAAGUUACAGAGAACUAUAAUCAUGCCACUGCAUUUCAGCCUGGGUGAAAGAGUAAGACCCUGUCUCUAAAACAAAAACAAAAUAGGGCUGGGAACUGGUGGCUCACGCCUGUAAUCCCAGCACGUUGGGAGGCCGAAGUGGGCAGAUCACCUGAAGCCAGGAGUUUGAGGCCUGGCCAACAGUCUCUACUAAAAAUAUAAAAAUUAGCUGGGUGUGGUGGUGCAUGCCUAUAAUCCCAGCUACACAGAGGUUGAGGCACGAGAAUUGUUUCAACCCAGGAGGCAGAGGUUGCAGCGAGCCCAGAUCAUGCCACUGCACCCCACCCUGGGCGAUAGCGCAAGAAGACUCUGUCUAAAAAAAAACAAAACAAAUUAAAAAAAAAACAAAACGAGAUGAGAGAAAACCUUCAUCUGUACUGUACUGCUAUACUCCUUACUCCUCUUUAUGACAGAAUACAGAAAGAUAAAGACAAAGAAAAGACUAUUCUGGGAGGAAAGGGGAUGAAACAACAUGAUUCAUACUACAAAGUACCAAAAAGUACACCAGAGUCGAUACACCAGCACUAGUCACACAAAUCCUUUUCUCCCAUCAGUCAAUAUUUUGGACAGGAAAAAUAGAGAGUGAUUUUUACUGUCUACUUCACCAGAUUCCACAGAGUGGGGCCUGGAAUCUGGCUGGUAAAAAUUCUUUAUCCUUAUGCUGGCUGAUCAGCUCCUGGUUUCCCUCAACUGUGGGCUUCCAAAAGAGCCAAACUUUGGGUUCCUGCUCACAGCACCAAAUUUUCAGGGGCCAAGGGAAAUCUUUCUCUGCGCACUCUGAAAGUUUGCUCUAAAAUGGACUCACAGAGGCAGAUUAAUAGGAGAAAACACAUAGAAAAUGUAUGAUUGCUCAGCCCCUCAGUGAGGUGCAGGAGGUUAUAUACCAUCUUGAGGUUACACAAAAAAGUGCAUCAUGCCAAAACAGGUUAUAGGAGAGAGAAAACUUGUAAGGGUUCAGACUCUGUUAAUCCUUCCUAGAUCCAGACAAGAGAAGGCCUGUAUGAAUCAAUGCAGAUUUUCUACAGAUGCAAAUUUUUCCCACAAACGAAAGCAUUGCAGGACUACUUAUUUUGCUGGUUCUCUGGCAGCCAUCUGAAAAUAUUUCAAAUAAAUAUAUUUUGGGGUUAAACAUUUUUAUUUCUUUCAAGGUGGAAUAUUAACUAUGUAUGUCUCUUAUAGAUAUAGUUUUAAAUAAAUAAGGGAAUCCACUUUUUCUAAUUUGUUAAGAUAUGUUUUGUUUUAAGAAUGACAAGGGGUUAAAUUUUUAAAAGAUUUUCUGCAUCUACUGAUAUUAUCACAUGGUUUACUUCCUUUUUAAUGUUAAUGUGUUGACUAAUAUUAACUGAUUUUCAAGUGCUAAACCAAUAUUGAGUUCAUGGAAUAAAUCCCACUGGAUCAUGAUGUAUUUUUUAAAACAUAUAUUGCUGGAUUCAAUAUGCUAAUACAUUAUAAUUUUUAUCACCUGUGAUCAUGAGAGCUCUUGGCUAACCAAAAAAUUGGGGGAUUGACAAGAGUGAUAUACAAAAUAGGCAUAUAAAUAUUCAUACUUGCUUGAUAUUUAAAAGGGCCUUUUAAUUUUUCUGCCCUGCUCAGGCAGACUUAUUAAAUACUGGCAUCAUGUCUCAUUCGGGGCCAUUCAAAGGUCAAUAGUGACCUGAAUCAUUCUAUUUUUGUAGGCAUCCUCAUAAUCUUUUCAAUACAGAUUGAAUUAUUUAGGAUUCAGUCUGCAGAAGAAAAAAGUCAAAGCAUAUAAGGUAAACAGAGAGGCAUAUUUUAUUGGCCUGGCUUCCACAGGAAGCAUUAGCUAAAGUGAAAACUUAUGUGCCACUUUUUAAUUCAAAAGUGGUUUUUUUAAGAGAGUGGGAGUUAAAAGACAGGGUAAUUAGAAUAGGAAGGAGUGAGAGACAAUUCAAUGGUGUGCUACUGAGGCAGAAAAUUUAAAAAUAAAUACGCAUUCAUUCACUCCAAGAAAAGUAACAGGCAGGGCAAGGGUUAAAAAGAAAAGAACAAGUUCUCCUCUGCCUAGCAAGCUCACUUCAAAGACAGUUAUAAGAUACCCCUGUCCGGAAAGCCAAGUCCAAAGGAAUGGGCUCCAGACACCCGCCCCUGCUCCAGAGCAAGGUUGAAUGAAAAAAAAAAAAAAAGAAAGACAAAUUCUUUUACUGUUACUCCUCUCCCAGGCUUCUUAAGCGAGAUUAUGUUUUACAAAUGUCUGUAUUUAGCCAGUUCUUGUUUUUCUUUCAAUGCAGGCACAAGACCACCGACUAUGCAAGGCCACAAGUUAUGCUAUGCUAUAGAUUAUGUGACCUAUCAUAUGAUUAGCUGCUUUUGUUUUACUUUUGUAAGCCAGCUUAUAAAAACCCCACUCUGUCUUUGUUCUAGGCUCAGCUUUUUGGAUGCAAAUCCACUGAGCCGGUGCGUACCUAAAAUAAACAAUCCUCCUGUUCUCCAUAUCAGUCUCUCUGGUCCUCAGUUUCCUGCAACACUACCUUAUUGGCCCAUACUGGGUAUCACGCAGGGUCAGAGGCGAAUUUACCAUGCAGCUAAGGAAGCUUAGCUUUUAGGAUCCGUUUGAACAGGUCUGUAAUUUUGUACUCAAAAUUUUUAUUCUUUUUUUUAAAGAGAAUCCCCCACUACUUUUAUGAACAUUGGGUACUAUUAACUGAACCUACCUUGAACACAACAGUUUGCUUGAUCACAUGGAACCAUCUUCUAGGAAGCCCUAUCUAAGAAUAAUCCACUUAGGAUAAGCUUCUAAGAAUAAUCCACUUAGGAUGAAAGAAAGGGGAAGAAUAUAUCCACUGUGGGAGAAAUAAAACAAUCCUGACACAAAAAGACCCCUGUGUACCCAACAGAAGAGAGACAGAACACUAGUAUUGAAUUAGCCUUAACAGAUUUACAUGCAUGUAAGGUAGCAUGACAAUAACUAUAAAGCUGGCUCAUAUCUCAUAUGCUUUGAACAAAGAAUGGGGAAGAAUGAGAACUGCUUUUACUGCUUCAAAAGAAAAGAGGGUACACCUUGUGACAGUUUCCCCUAUACUGAGAAACCCUCAGCUCGUCCUUGUAGGUGCUGUUAAAAAACAUCUGGAUGUUAUUUUCCUAUGGCCCGGGUACAUUCUGGAGACCGGGCUUAAUCCCUAGAGAUAUUAUAUUUCCACUGUUAGAACAAAGAUUCAGAGUUGUUACCACGUUGAAUGUAAUAUCACUGUUUUCUUUCUUUUGUGGUUUUUAGGAACAGAAACAACACACUCAGACUUGAGAAACUGGUCUGGUUUAAAAGGGUUCCUGGCCUUACAGUCUUGUCAGCUGAAGCUGGAUGGGUUAAUAUAGACUGCAGAGAAAUCACCACCACUCAUACAUGGACUACUCAGAAAUUUCACCAGAACACCUCAUGCAAACUGCAAACCAGGAAAUUCCGUCAGAUUGCCACUGCCUGCCCCCAUUCAAACUGAAGAUACUUCAAGCUUAACAUCUAAAACUUUCUGACUGGCUGCCCUCUGGACUAAAAAAACUGAGUUUAUAGUCAGUUCCAAUCAUUAACCUUUGCUUUUCUCGUUUCAAUGAAAAUAUCUUUUUUUUUUUUUUUUUUUGAGACAGAGUUUUGCUGUUGUUGCCCAGGCUGGAGUGCAAUGGUACAAUCUCGGCUCAUUGCAACUUCCACCUUCUGGGUUCAAGUGAUUCUCCUGCCUCAGCCUCCUGAGUAGCUGCGAUUAUAGGAAUGUGCCACCACACCUGGCUAAUUUUGUAUUUUUAGUAGAGACAGGGUUUCUCCAUGUUGGUCAGGCUGGUCUCAAACUCCCUAGGUGAUCCGCCCGCCUCGGCCUCCCAAAGUGCUGGGAUUAUAGGCAUGAGCCACCACACCUGGCUGGAAAUAUCUCUUAUUAAAUGAAUGAUUGCUUAGGCCUAACUUUGGUGGAUGCCAUUCUGCAAUCCCACCACCUGACUCGAGACAGUCCUGUUAACUGUUUAACUGGACUGACCUAUUCUCAGGACUGAGAGACUGGUAUAAUGACUAGAUAAUAUAGUGACCCAGUUCCUGAACCGAGAAACUUUAUAAGGAGGUUUCAUGGUACCUUGGCAAUUGAGAAAACCAAAGAAGCAAGAAGGUCAGUAUUACCACAAUCACUAUGCCUUUCUGUGUGGCAGCUGGCCAUAAAGGAAUGCUCUGACCUACCUCCCCUGAAAGUAGGGCAUAAAGCCCUUAUUCCAGAGGAGUACUUCUUUACCCAGAGGCCAAAAGAAUCUGAACAGACAGCCAUUUCUGGGCUCCCCAGUGCCCAUUUAUUAGCACUAGAUAAUAUACUUAUUGUCCAAUCAUACUUCUACAUGACUUGUCCAUAGAAUCCAAGCCUAAAAAUACAUACUUUUCAUUGGGUCUUUGGUCCUCAUUUCUGAGGGCUCCCUUGUCAUGGAAAACUUUGUUAAAUAAUUUUUUAAUGGUUUUCUCUUGUUAAUCUGUUUUGUUGUAAGAUUGCAAGCCAUAACCCUGGCAAUGGGUGACAAAAAACUAUUAACUUCUUGUCUCCUACAAUAGACACUGUUAGUAACUGGACUCUACCCUCCCAUGGAAUUUCCCUCACUUCUUUUCUUGCCUGAUUCAAUCAUAACAACCCUGCUGACUUUCAAUUGUGCCUACAAUUUUCACCUUAAUCCUAUCAGGUCCUGAAGAAAUUUUUCCAGAUGAAUUAGUGAUCAUCUCCCAACUAUUUGGACUUUGGUGUCUGCCAUUCUGUAUAUAACAGAACAUACUAUAAAAGCACAGUCUGUACUGGACAGAAUCAUUUACUCCCUUUCCUAGACCAGCCACGUAGCUUGGCCUGAUCUGGAGGCUAAAAUAUGGAGCCCCAUUCAUCAUCUUUGGAAGAGCUGUCUUGAAGGCAGCAUGUCCAGAGCCCCACAUGCCACCAGACUUAAGCCUAAAGUAAGCUGGGAUUGGGCAAUGGACAACUUCACUGCACUGAGCCACCACUGCCAAUGUCCCCAGUUCUGUGCACAUAUGAAGUACAGUGCAUUCAGGCUGCCAUGCUGGGCUUACAUAGGCUAGAGUCAUUUCUGAAGUUUAAAGGGGACAAAAAUGUUGUUGAGACCCACACUCUGGGGCCAAUGGCUGAAACCACAGAAGAGCUACACUCACUUGAAAAAUAAGUGUAUGCUGAGAUCGUUCGAAGAUGGCUGAAUAGGAACAGCUCCAGUCUAAAGCUCCCAGCGUGAGCAACACAGAAGACAGGUGAUUUCUGCAUUUCCAACUGAGCUUUGAAGAGAGCAGUUGUUCUCCCAGCAUGGAGUUUGAGAUCUGAGAACGGACAGACUGCCUCCUUAAGUGGGUCCCUGGCCCCCGAGUAGCCUAACUGGGAGACACCUCCCAGUAGGGGCCAACUGACACCUCAUACAGCCGGGUGCCCCUCUGAGACGAAGCUUCCAGAGGAAGGAUCAGGAAGCAACAUUUGCUAUUCUGCAAUAUUUGCUGUUCUGCAGCCUCCACUGGUGAUACCCAGGCAAAUAAGGUCUGGAGUGGACCUCCAGCAAACUCCAACAGACCUGCAGCUGAGGGUUCUGACUGUUAGGAGGAAAACUAACAAACAGAAAGGAAUAGUAUCAACACCAACAAAAAGGACAUCCACACCAAACCCCAUCUGUAGGUUACCAUCAUCAAAGACCAAAGGUAGAUAAAACCACAAAGAUGGGGAGAAACCAGAGCAGAAAAGCUGAAAAUUCUAAAAUCAGAGCAUUUCUUCUCCUCCAAAGAAUCACAGCUCCUCGCCAUCAACGGAACAAAGCUGGACAGAGAAUAACUUUGACGAGGUGACAGAAGUAGGCUUCAGAAGAUCGGUAAUAACAAACUUCUCCGAGCUAAAGGAGGAUGUUCAAACUCAUCGCAAAGAAGCUAAAAACCUUGAAAAAAGAUUAGACGAAUGGCUAACUGGAAUAAACAGCAUAGAGAAGACCUUAAAUGACCUGAUGGAGCUGAAAACCAUGGCACAAGUACUACGUGAUGCAUGCACAAGCUUCAGUAGCCGAUUUGAUCAAGUGGAAGAAAGCGUAUCAGUGAUUGAAGAUCAAAAGAAUGAAAUGAAGUGAGAAGUUAGAGGAAAAAAGAGUAAAAAGAAAUGAACAAAGCCUCCAAGAAAUAUGGGACUAUGUGAAAGGGCCAAAUCUACAUUUGAUUGGUGUACCUGAAAGUGACAGGGAGAAUGGAACCAAGUUGGAAAACACUCUUCAGGAUAUUAUCCAGGAGAACUUCCCCAACCUAGCAAGGCAGGUCAACAUUCAAAUUUAGGAAAUGCAGAGAAUGCCACAAAGAUACUCCUCAAGAAGAGCAACCCCAAGACACAUAAUCGUCAGAUUCACCAAGGUUGAAAUGAAGGAAAAAAAGGUUAAGGGCAGCCAGAGAGAGGUCAGGUUACCCACAAAAGGAAGCCCAUCAGACUAACGGUGGCUCUCUCAGCAGAAACUCUACAAGCCAGAAGAGAGUGGGGGCCAAUAUUCAACAUUCUUAAAGAAUUUUCAACCCAGAAUUUCAUAUCCAGCCAAACUAAGCUUCAUAAGUGAAGGAAACAUAAAAUCCUUUACAGACAAGCAAGUGCUGAGAGAUUUUGUCACCACCAGGCCUGCCUUACAAGAGCUCCUGAAGGAAGCACUAAAGGAACAACCGGUACCAGCCACUGCAAAACAUGCCAAAUUGUAAAGACCAUUGGUGCUAGGAAGAAACUGCAUCAACUAACAAGCAAAAUAACCAGCUAACAUCAUAAUGACAAGAUCAAGUUCACACGUAACAAUACUAACCUUAAAUGUAAAUGGGCUAAAUGCCCCAAUUAAAAGACACAGACUGGCAAAUUGGAUAAAGAGUCAAGACCCAUCAGUGUGCUGUAUUCAGGAGACCCAUCUCACCUGCAGAGACACACAUAGGCUCAAAAUAAAGAGAUGGAGGAAGAUCUACCAAGCAAAUGGAAAACAAAAAAAGCAGGGGUUGCAAACCCACUCUCUGAUAAAACAGAUUUUAAACCAACAAAGAUCAAAAGAGACAAAAGAGACAAAGAAGGCCAUUACAUAAUGGUAAAGGGAUCAAUUCAACAAGAAGAGCUAACUAUCUUAAAUAUAUAUGCACCCAAUACAGGAGCACCCAGAUUCAUAAAGCAAGCCCUUAGAGACCUACAAAGAGACUUAGACUCCCACACAAUAAUAAUGGGAGACUUUAACACUCCACUCUCAACAUUAGACAGAUCAACAAGACAGAAAGUUAACAAGGAUAUCCAGGACUUGAACUCAGCUCUGCACCAAGUGGACCUAAUAGACAUCUACAGAACUCUCCACCCCAAAUCAACAGAAUAUAUACAUUCUUCUCAGCACCACACUGCACUUAUUCCAAAAUUGACCACAUAGUUGGAAGUAAAGCACUCCUCAGCAAACGUAAAAGUACAGAAAUUAUAACAAACUGUCUCUCAGACCAUAGUGCAAUCAAAUUAGAACUCAGGAUUAAGAAACUCACUCAAAACCGCAAAACUACAUGGAAAUUGAAUAACCUGCUCCUGAAUGACUACUGGGUACAUAACUAAAUGAAGGCAGAAAUAAAGAUGUUCUUUGAAACCAAUGAGAACAAAGACACAACAUACCAGAAUCUCUGGGACACAUUUAAAGCAGUGUGUAGAGGGAAAUUUAUAGCACUAAAUGCCCACAAGAGAAAGCAGGAAAGAACUAAAACUGACACGCUAACAUCACAAUUAAAAGAACUAGAGAAGCAAGAGCAAACAUAUUCAAAAGCUAGCAGAAGGCAAGAAAUAACUAAGAUCAGAGCAGAACUAAAGGAGACAGAGACACAAAAAACCCUUCAAAACAUCAAUGGUAUCCAGGAGCUGGUUUUUGGAAAAGAUCAACAAAAUUGAUAGACCACUAGCAAGACUAAUAAAGAAGAAAAGAGAGAAGAAUCAAAUAGACGCAAUAAAAAAUGAUAAAGGGGAUAUCACCACCGAUCCCACGGAAAUACAAACUACCAUCAGAGAAUACUAUAAACACCUCUAUGUAAAUAAACUAGAAAACCUAAAAGAAAUGGAUAAAUUCCUGGACACAUCCACCCUCCCAAGACUAAACCAGGAAGAAGUUGAAUCCCUGAAUAGACCAAUAACAGGCUCUGAAAUUGAGGCAAUAAUUAAUAGCCUACCAACCAAAAAAAGUCCAGGACCAGAUGGAUUCACAGCCAAAUUCUGUCAGCGGUAGGAAGAGGAGCUGGUACCAUUCCUUCUGAAAUUAUUCCAAUCAGUAGAAAAAGAUGGAAUCCUCCCUAACUCAUUUUAUGAGGCCAGCAUCAUCCUGACACCAAAGCCUGGCAGAGACACAACAAAAAAAGAGAAUUUUAGGCCAAUAUCACUGAUGAACAUCGAUGCAAAAAUCCUCAAUAAAAUACUGGCAAACUGAAUCCAGCAGCACAUCAAAAAGCUUAUCCACCAUGAUCAAGUUGGCUUCAUCCCUAGGGUGCAAGGCUCAUUCAACAUACACAAAUCAAUAAACCUAAUCCAUCAUAUAAACAGAACCAAAGACAAAAACCACAUGAUUAUCUCAAUAGAUGCAGAAAAGACCUUCAACAAAAUUCAACAACGCCUCAUGCUAAAAACUCUCAAUAAACUAGGUAUUGAUGGGACUUAUCUCAAAAUAAUAAGAGCUAUCUAUGACAAACCCACAGCCAAUAUCAUACUGAAUGGGCAAAAACUGGAAGCAUUCCCUUUGAAAACUGGCACAAGACAGGGAUGCCCUCUCUCACCACUCCUAUUCAACAUAGUGUUGGAAGUUCUGGCCAGGGCAAUCAGGCAGGAGAAAGAAAUAAAGGGUAUCCAUUUAGGAAAAGAGGAAGUCAAAUCCUCCCUGUUUGCAGAUAACAUGAUUGUAUAUCUAGAAAAUCCCAUCGUCUCAGCCCAAAAUCUCCUUAAGCUGAUAAGCAACUUCAGCAAAGUCUCAGGAUACAAAAUCAAUGUGCAAAAAUCACAAGCAUUCCUAUACAACAAUAACAAACAGAGAGCCAAAUACUGAGUGAACUCCCAUUCACAAUUGCUUCAAAGAGAAUAAAAUACCUAGGAAUCCAACUUACAAGGGAUGUGAAGGACCUCUUCAAGGAGAACUACAAACCACUGCUCAAUGAAAUAAAAGAGGACACAAACAAAUGGAAGAACAUUCCAUGCUCAUCGAUAGGAAGAAUCAGUAUUGUGAAAAUGGGCAUACUGCCCAAGGUAAUUUAUAGAUUUUUUUUUUUUAUUUUUUGAGACGGAGUCUCGCUCUGUUGCCCAGGCUAGAGUGCAGUGGCUUGAUCUUGGCUCACUGCAAGCUCCGCCUCCCGGGUUCAUGCCAUUCUCCUGCCUCAGCCUCCCAAGUGGCUAGGACUACAGGCACCCACCACAAUGCCCGGCUAAUUUUUUGUAUUUUUUUAGUAGAGACAGGGUUUCACCAUGUUAACCAGGAUGGUCUGGAUCUCCUGACCUCGUGAUCCGCCCACCUCAGCCUCCCAAAGUGCUGGGAUUACAGGCAUGAGCCACCGCGCCCGGCCGGUAAUUUAUAGAUUUAAUGCCAUCCCCAUCAAGCUACCAAUGACUGUCUUCACAGAAUUGGAAAAAGCUACUUUAAAGUUCACAUGGAACCAAAAAAGAGCCCACAUUGCCAAGACUGUGGGGGAAAUAAAGAGAGAUCAGGCUGUUACUGUGUCUAUGCAGAAAGAAGAAGACAUAAGAAACUCCAUUUUGUUCUGUAGUAAGAAAAAUUCUUCUGCCUUGAGAUGCUAUUAAUCUGUAACGCUAGCCCCAACCCUGUGGUCACAGAAAUAUUUGCUGUGUUGACUCAAGGUUUAAUGGAUAUAGGGCUGUGCAGGAUGUGCUUUGUUAAAAAUGUGUUUGCACGCAGUAUGCUUGGUAAAAGUCAUCACCCUUCUCUGGUCUCAAGUACCCAGGGACACAAUGCACUGUCGAAGGCCACAGGGACCUCUGCCCAAGAACGCCUGGGUAUUGUCCAAGGUUUCUCCCCACUGAGACAGCCUGAGACAUGGCCUCGUGGGAAGGGAAAGACCUUACCGUCCCCCAGCCCGAUACCCAUAAAGGGUCUGUGCUGAGGAGGAUUAGUGAAAGAGGAAGGCCUCUUUGCAGUUGAGAUAAGAGGAAGGCAUCUGUCUCCUGCUCGUCCCCGGGAAUGGAAUGUCUUGGUGUAAAACCCGAACGUACAUUCUAUUUACUGAGAUGGGAGAAAACUGCCUUAUGGCUGGAGGUGAGACAUGCUGGCGACAAUACUGCUCUUUACUGCACUGAGAUGUUUGUGUAAAGUCAAACAUAAAUCUGGCCUACAAGCACAUCGAGGCACAGCACCUUUCCUUAAACUUAUUUAUGACACAGAGUCCUUUGUUCACAUGUUUUCCUGCUGACCCUCUCCCCACCCUGCCACAUCCCCCUCACCAAGAUAGUAGAGAUAGUGAUCAAUAAAUACUGAGGGAACUCAGAGACCAGAGCCGGUGCGGGUCCUCCAUAUGCUGAGCGCUGGUCCUCUGGGCCCACUGUUCUUUCUCUAUACUUUGUCUCUGUGUCUUAUUUCUUUUCUCAGUCUCUCAUCACACCUGAUGAGAAAUACCCACAGGUGUGGAGGGGCUGGCCCCCUUCAAAGACAAUCCUAAGCAAAAAGAACAAAACUGGAGGCAUCAUGCUACCUGACUUCAAAGGAUACUACAAGGCUACAGUAACCAAAACAGCAUGGUACUGGUACCAAAACAGAGAGAUAAACCAAUGGAAGAGAACAGAGCCCUCAGAAAUAAUACCAUACAUCUACAACCAUCUGAUCUUUGACAAACCUGACAAAAACAAGAAAUGGGGAAAGGAUUCCCUAUUUAAUAAAUAGUGCUGGGAAAACUGGCUAGCCAUAUGUAGAAAGCUAAAACUGGAUCCUUUCCUUACACCUUAUACAAAAAUUAAUUCAAGAUGGAUUAAAGACUUAAAUAUUAGACCUAAAAACCAUAAAAACCCUAGAAGAAAACCUAGGCAAUACCAUUCAGGACACAAGCAUGGGCAAUGACUUCAUGACUAAAACACCAAAAGCAAUGGCAACAAAAGCCAAAAUUGACAAAUGGGAUCUAAUUAAACUAAAGAGCUUCUGCACAGCAAAAGAAACCACCAUCAGAGUGAAGAGGCAACCUACAGAAUGGGAGAAAAUUUUUGCAAUCUACCCAUCUGACAAAGGGCUAAUAUCCAGAAUCUACAAAGAACUUAAACAAGUUUACAAGAAAAAAUCAAACAACCCCAUCACAAAGUGGGCAAAGGAUAUGAACAGACACUUCUCAAAAGAAGACAUUUAUGCAGCCAACAGACACAUGAAGAAAUGCUCAUCAUCACUGGUCAUCAGAGAAAUGCAAAUCAAAACCACAAUGAGAUACCAUCUCACACCAGUUAGAAUGACGAUCAUUAAAAAGUCAUGAAACAACAGAUGCUGGAGAGGAUGUGGAGAAACAGGAACACUCUUACACUGUUGAUGGGAGUGUGAAUUGGUUCAACCAUUGCGGAAGACAGUGUGGUGAUUCCUCAAGGAUCUGGAACUAGAAAUACCAUUUGAUCCAGCCAUCCCAUUACGGGGUAUAUACCCAAAGGAUUAUAAAUCAUGUUACUAUAAAGACACAUGCACAUGUAUGUUUACUGCAGCACUAUUUACAAUAGCAAAGACUUGUAACCAACCCAAAUGUCCAUCAAUGAUAGACUGGAUUAAGGAAAUGUGGCACAUAUACACCAUGGAAUACUAUGCAGCCAUAAAAAAGGAUGAGUUCAUGUCCUUUGCAGGGACAUGGAUGAAACUGGAAACCAUCAUUCUGAGCAAACUACCACAAGGACAGAAAACCAAACACUACACGCUCUCACUCAUAGGUGGGAAUUGAACAAUGAGAACACUUGGACACAGGGUAGGGAAUAUCACACACCCAGGCCUGUCAUGGGGUGGGGGGAGGGAGGAGGGAUAACAUUGGGAGGAAUAUCUAAUGUAAAUGAUGAGUUAAUGGGUGCAGCACACCAACUUGGCACAUGUAUAUGUAUGUAACAAACCUGCACAUUGUGCACAUGUACACUCGAACUUAAAAGUAUAAUAAAAAAAUUUUAAAAAGAAAGUAGCAUUUUAGAAAACAACUUCUCAAUAAAUAGCCUAUAAACAAAAAAAAAAGUAAAAAGAAAAAUAAGUGCAUCCUAUAGACAACACAACACAAUGGGCCAUGACCCAGCCAGGACAUGCCAACCUGUGAAGCUGGACAGAUAGAUGCCUAGAGCAGAGCCCAGGCUGCCCACAAGAAAUUGCUGAAAACUAAGGCUUAGGACAGACUGGAACCCAGAAAAGAAAGGAACCCCGGUCUUGGUCAUGGUUCAUGGCACCACUCCUUUAUAACAAUGCCCUAGAAGAAGCCCAUGCACCUCAGUGGGAGCACUCAUGCUGUUCUUGGGGAACCUUCAUAGGACUGUGCCCUGCCUUGAGCUGGAAGUCUCUGCAGUAGACAUCCUUCCAUAUUUUGUUCUUCAUCUUCUGAACGCCUUCAAGGUUUUUCAAUUGGAAAAAUUCUAUCUGCAUAAUCAACAAUGUGCUAAGGAACUCUACUUUUAGAUCUUCUUAGAAUUCAUAGUUCUUUGUACAUGAGGAUUAAAGCAUUCUUCUGUAUUCUCCACUUGUGAAAUAGAUUUGAGGUUGGUGGAGUCAGGAUUGGAAACACAUACAGGUGGGCAGGGGCAUGAAAGGGACUGGGACCCAGAUCAGAGCUGGAGGCUGAACUCCAGGGAGCCUUUGAAUAGCUAUGGAUAUCACCAGGGUGGGAAGGGACAGUGCUCCACUGUCCUGGGAUUCUCUUGAAACUGAGCUUGGCCUCCCUGCUGAGAGCAGAGAACAACCAUCAAUAAAUAUUCCUUCAAUGGUCUGAAGUUUACGUUUACAGGGUGGAGGUGGAAAUUAAAUUUAGGGAGCCAUGAGGAAGACCCCCAGCCCUGUGCCUUUUGAAUUGACAACCAUGGCAUUUCAGGGCAUCAGCUCCAGGUCAGGCAUUCUCAGGCAGUUGCAUAAUUCUGCCAAUGUGGGGCCCGCCCACCUCAAAAAUCCACAUGGAUUGGAUCCAGCAAAACCAAAUAUUCAGCAAAACUUCAAGAUCUAGCAACACUGAAGGCUCAAGUACAUCACCGGUGCAUACUUGGCCCAAGGAGGCUAUUCUCUCACAAUCUCUACCCAGCUCCGGGCCUGCAGCAUCUGAGACUCACUCCUUCAAGCUGCAGGUAUCCCAGGAAAAAGAUUUAUGCAUCCUCAUAGCUUCAACAUGCAGUGUGUCAGGCACAGAAAAAUGGUUGUCUUCAGAAAGUGAUAAAAAAAACAUGCAGUAGCAAUCACCCUUUGGACUUUGAAACUUUUCUGUCACCUUAGAUGUCAGAAACUAAAACCCAGAAACUUGGUGUUGGCAUUAAUUUGGUCUAGCUAUGAAGACUUUUUUUUUUUUUUUUUCACACAGUGACAGUUCUGAAUUUGAAUAUAAAGGAGCUUAGGUGCUAUAAUCUGAAUGGAACGUGGGAAUAAAACUGUCUUUGCCUUGUACUUCUUGUUAGAUUAAUUAAAUACCAAUUAUCAGUAUAAGAAAAUGGCAAUAAAUUGUCAAAGUGGAAUUGGAAAGUGUUUUUAGGAUUUGGAUAUGAAGCAGGCUUCCCAUGUGACCAUUCUCACUUCUUAUUCUGAAGUCUAACACUCUGCUUUUCUUUCUCUCCCUCUCUUCAUUGAUUCUUCUAGUGGCUGGUGUUUGGGUAUUGUGGGAACUGAGCUUUCAUCUCCUAUGUUAGCCAUAGAGAUGAGGGCUUUGAGGGCACCAUGGAAUCCGAUUGCUGGAAAUAAAUCAAUCUUAAAGGAAAGGAAAAUUUAAAAAUCAGGUGCAACAAAAGCAAAAUGAGAAAACUGCUAAACUCUACAAUUCUAUAAAGAAGAAUUGCAUAAAAAGGAAAUAACAGGAAAAGGUAAGAAAAUUUAAAAGGAUAUCAGAAAAUAUAGCAUACAGGGUCAGAAAGAUUUGAGAAUAUGACGAGAUGGUUUUAGAAGGCAGGAUGGGGCCGGGCACGGUGGCUCAUGCCUAUAAUCCCAGCACUUUGGGAGGCUGAGGCAGACGGAUCACGAGGUCAGGAGAUCGAGACCAUCCUGGCUAACACGGUGAAACCCUGUCUCUACUAAAAAUACAAAAAAAAAAAAAAAAAAAAAAAUUAGCCGGGCGUGUUGGCGGGCACCUGUAGUCCCAGCUACUCGGGAGGCUGAGGCAGGAGAUUGGCGUGAACACGGGAGGCGGAGCUUGCAGUGAGCGGAGAUCGCGCCACUGCACUCCAGCCUGGGAAACAGCGAGACUCUGGCUCAAAAAAAAAAAAAAAAAAAAAAAAAAAGGCAGGAUGGGCUGGGCGCGGUGGUUCACGCCUGUAAUCCCAGCACUUUGGGAGGCCGAGGCGGGCCGAUCGCCUCAGGUCAGGAGUUCGAGACCAGCCUGACCAACAUGGAGAAACCCCGUCUCUACUAAAAAUACAAAAUUAGCCGGGCAUGGUGGCC